AUGCUUCAACUACCCACAGUCCUUUGCCAGAUGAGAUCAACAUCCCUGGCACUGGCUCCAAAUCUCACUCGGGCCUAUGCUAAUGAUGUAAAAUUUGGUGCGGAUGCUCCAGCCUUAAUGCUUCAAGAUGUAGACCUUUUAGCCAAUGCUGUAGCUGUUACAGUGGGGCCAAAGGGAAGAACAGUGACUAUUGAACAGAGUUGGGGAAGUCACAAAGUAACAAAAGAUGAGGUCUCUGUCACAAAAUCAAUUGAUUUGAAAGAUAAAUACAAAAAUAUCGGAGCUAAAUUGUUCAGGAUGUUGCCAAUAACACAAACGAAGAGACUGGGGAUGGCCCCACCACUGCCACUGUUCUGGCUUGCUCUAUUGCCAAGGAGGGCUUUGAGAAGAUCAGCAAUGGGGCUAAUCCAGUGGAAAUCCAUAGAGGUAUGAUGUUGGCUGCUGAUGCUGUAAUUGCUGAAUUUAAGAAACAAUCUAAACUGUGACAACCCCUGAAGAAAUUGCUCAGGUUGCUACAAUCUCUGCAAAUGGAGACAAAGACAUUGGGAACAUCAUUUCUGAUGCAAUGAAAAGGGUUGGAAGAAAGGGUGUCAUCACAGUGGAGGAUGGAAAAUCCUGAAUGAUGAGCUAGAAAUUAUUGAAGGCAUGAAGUUUGAUAGAGGAUAUAUUUCCCCAUAUUUUAUUAGCACAUCAAAAGGUCAAAAGUGUAGAUUCCAAGAUGCCUAUGUUUUGUUAAAUGAAAAGAAAAUUUCUAGUGUUCAGAUCAUUGUAGCUGCUUGUGAAAUUGCUAAUGCUCAUCAGAAGCCCUUGGUCAUAAUCACUGAAGAUGUUGACGGAGAAGCUCUAAGAACACUGGUUUUGAACAGGCUAAACGUUAGUCUUCAGGUUGUAGCAGUCAAAGCCCCAGGGUUUGGGGACAAUAGGAAGAACCAGCUUAAAGAUAUGGCUAUUGCUACUGAUGGUGCAGUGUUUGGAGAAGAGGGGUUGAAUCUAAAUCUUGAAGUUGUUUAAGCUCAUGACUUAGGAAAAGUUGGAGAGGUCAUUGUCACCAAAAAUGAUAGCAUGCUUUUGAAAGGAAAAGGUGACAAAGCUCACAUUGAAAAACCUAUUCAAGAAAUCACUGAGCAGCUAGACAUCACAACUAGUGAAUAUGAAAAGGAAAA